AUCUAUUUUUUAAAUGCUCUUGUUUGCGACUCACUUGAUUAAUAGAGAUUUUGUUCCGCUUGACUUGAUGAUGAUCACGUUUGUAAAAAUAUUAGCAUAUUUAUCUACGUGUGUACAUACAUUAACCGUUCGGCGUUCCUCCGUUGAAUUUGCUCUUUCCAGUAUUCAACGCUAGCUAUCUCUGUGAUGGCGUACUUUUACAAAACUCUCCGAGUAUGAGAACACACUGACAACAAAGACGGUACAAAUGAACCAACCACUUUUGGGUGUUAUGUGUUAAAUCGCUAAAUGUAUAACUCAAUCUCAUCAGCGCCGACUGACGACGAGUUUAAAUCAUUGGAAUCGUGGCGUAACAUAUCAGAAAUAAAAUUGCAACAAUUCAGUAGUAAUACAAAGCACCGGGAACCACUUUCGGCCAAUUCCGUGACCAUCAUCAAAGGUGAACUCAAAACUACACCGUGUAACCUGGAAAUGAUGAAUCAGUGAAAUCAGUCAAUAAAAUAUAGCACAUGUAGGAUUUCUGUAAUUAGUCUGAAAAGGACCUGAUAAGAUUUGGAUGUCUCAAAUGGUGCAUUGAUUGCACCUCUUUAACAAAAUCUAAAAUGACAAUAAAUACAUGUAAUAAAUAUA